GGAAGGGUGGCCGAGUGGUUGAUGGCACUGGUCUUGAAAACCAGAGAGUGAAAGCUCCGCAGGUUCGAAUCCUGUCCCUUCCGCCA
rnacentral:tRNA from 1 species